CGGCCUGAGGUCGGACGAGGCUACCCGCUGAAUUUAAGCAUAUUACUAAGCGGAGGAAAAGAAACUAACGAGGAUUCCCUCAGUAACGGCGAGUGAAGCGGGACGAGCCCAGCGCCGAAUCCGGCCGCUUAUGGAGCGGACGGAAUUGUGGCGUAUGGAAUUCGCUUCGAGCGCGGACCGGCUGCCCACGUCCUUCUGAUCGAGGCUUCAUCCCAUAGCGGGUGUCAGGCCCUUGGCGGCGGCUGGCCCGGGCUCUCGGUGUCUUCCCGGAGUCGGGUUGUUUGGGAAUGCAGCCCAUAGCGGGUGGUAAACUCCAUCUAAGGCUAAAUACGGUCACGAGACCGAUAGCGAA
rnacentral:ncRNA from 1 species